rnacentral:lncRNA from 1 species
AAAGUGUCCAUCUGCAUCAUUCAUCUCCCUCUUUCUCCUUCCCCAAUUAGCAGAAGUUUCCAGACUUAAACAACACCCAGCGAUGCUGAAUGAGGCCAGCCCACCCCAGUGUUUCAUUUACCCCAAGAUUUAUCUUCCUUCCAUUAAAACACUGAAGUUCUGUAGAAGAGACAAAGUAGGGACAAAGUCCUUGCAGCCCAGCUUCAGCCUCAGUGUUUGGUUCACUGGGAACAUCAGAGAGCAUGAGUAUAUUGGACAGAUGUUGGCUUAUCACCCUAAGCCUGGCCCCUUGCUUCUUAAUAUCUGCAAACCCAGCAGGAACAGCCACAGGAGGACAGGUGGGCAUCUGAGCAGUUUUCAGUUUGGGGACUUCUCUUCUUCAAACACACAGUUGGCGUUUCUACAUUUUAUUCACCAGAACUCUUCAGGUCAAGCAGAUGGUCAUGGCAAAUGCUGUUGUGCUGGUUCAUACAACAGCACUUUGAUUACCUUUUCCACACUAAAAUAACUAUGGAGAACAAGCCACUAGCCCAUAACUUGGCUCCCAUGGGUGAGCCAAUCUCAUCCGGAGGAUGGUGCAGGUGACUCAGACUGUGAGUAAAUUUUGGAUCAUGAGGUGAAUAUUGUCCUACCUUUUUCCUUGACAUGGACUCUAUCUAAGGCUUUUUUUUAGUAGAUGGAGACAGAGUCACAGUCAAAAUAGAAUUUGAAGUGUUUGAAAGGACAAUCAGACAAAGAUGGGGUAUUCAGAAAGAAGUUAACUAAUGUCAUUGAAUAAGAAAAAUUGAAGAGGUUAAGUUUUUUGAGAAAUGGUAAUAGAACUCUGGGGGUAUUGUGAGAAAUCAGAAGCUCUUUAAAAACUUGGGGGCUGUAGAAUGAAACGGCAUAUGUAAUUGAAGAAAAUAACUAGGCCAGAGUCUUAAAAGAGUCUAGGAGUAGUAAAGGAAGUGAAACAAGGACAGGAAUCUUGGCUAC